CUCGUAUCCAUCACGUCUCGGCAGACACUGAACACCUGCCACUGUGACUCCACCCACCACAUCCUGGUACCUCAUCCCCAGAUUUGAACCUGUGAUCGUCACCAAGACUCCACCCUCCAGGGGACCAGAGACAGAUAAACCGGAGCAGAAAACUGGAGCUGACUGACUGUAUACUGAAACUACAGAGAGACAGGCAGGUGAGAGACAAACAGGAUGUCAGAAGCAACGGCGUUGCCGCUGUCCACCACCACACUGUCGUACAGAUCACCUGACCAAUCAGAGCGCACCAACACCUGCAACACACACACACAGGUAAGUCACUGUUCACAGCAACAGACACAGUGAAGAUCUGACCCCACCCUAAAUUGACCCCCCACAACCAACCAACCCCCCACCCUCAACCAUUGAGGGUGGGGGGGAACAUUGUUCUCCAACUUUUUUGUUCACCCUGCAGAUGCGUCCCCUACGGACGUGUCAGUAAAUCACUGCUGUGGUGGCGAUGACCUGCCAGCAGGUGGUACUGUGAUUCUCUAGCCUGACGUUUCAGCAGAGAGAGAAAACUGUUUCUACUGCUCCGGUGGAACCAAGAUCUACCUGAUUCAGCAGGAACCACAGCAUCACAUGACCACACCUGUCAGCGGCCCUAGCCUGCUGCUUGUCACCUGAACGGGACGCCACACAGCCAGAAACCACCUCACUCAGUGAUUGGUGCGUUGGUGAGGAGGUUAGAAAGGAGGAAAGCGAUGGUGUGUCCCGCCUCUGUUGCUGUGGUGACGGCGGUCAGCAGGGUAGAGGAGGAGAAGGUUGGCGUGGCUGGAAGUGGCACAGCACUGGCGAUGGGGUUAGGGGUGUGUUCCCCUCCACAGGGGUACUCCAAGAGAGAGACCUUACAGACAAAUGGAGAGAGAAUGAGACCAGUGUUUACUAUCAGAAGAACCAAUCACGUUCAGAUGUCAAGCAUCACAGAAGUCCAACAAUGAUGCUGGACUUUCUCUGCUAUCCACACCCCACUGAGGUUGAAUACCUUGGUUUCAACACACCUUAGUUAGAACUAAAGAAGCCACUUGGAUGAGAGGUGAAACGUCUUCAACAAUCUACAACCAAAUCCAGAGCAUGCUCAGUUGGUAUGUCCACAUACUUUUGGACAGAUGAGGGUGCAAAGUUGUACGACAAAAAGACAAAUGCUUCACAUCAUCAAUCACCGUGUUUUUAUCUUCAUCACUGCAGUUUAAUCCGUGUGUGUGUGUGUGUGUGUGUGUGUGUGUGUGUGUGUGUGUGUGUGUGUGUGUGUGUGUGUGUGUGUGUGUGUGUGUGUGUGUGUGUGUGUGUGUGUGUGUGUGUGUGUGUGUGUGUGUGUGUGUGUGUGUGUGUGUGUGUGUGUGUGUUAUAUCUGGGUCAGUCCGACCCGGGGCCUAUACUAUGAAGCAGGAUUUAUGGUUAUCUAGGUAAUUUCAGGUUUAACUCCUACUUUUCAGUCCUAUGAAGAUGGUUCACUUGUUACACAGCCCAACUACUGACCAGUCAGAUCACUGGAAAACCAGAGUCAUCAUUCUACAGGAUCCUGACAGGGACAGAAUAGUUUACAGUAAAGUGAGAAGUGACAAAGAGCAACAGAUAUUUAUAGAUGAGUGGGAUCAUGUUGCUGUUCCAGACCGUUCAUGUGUCCACUAAGGUUUUCAAACAGAGCUUAUUAUAAUUGGAGGUAAAGCUUAGAAUAAAAACGCUAAAUAAAUACAUAGACUAACUAAUAUCAUAGCUUCAUUUUGAAUGAACAAAGAAAACUUGUUUCUGACAGAAUCCUUGAAUCCUUGUGUUGAUGCUUUUAUUGUCUUAUUCUAGUCAUUGCAUCUAUUCUAGUCAUUUGAUCAUAUUAUUUACAUUUGACUUUGUUGAAUGUCACUUUCAGAUGUCGUUUUAACUGAAUUUACCUGCAGCUUUUCUUCGGGUAUCAUAUUAAGAACUUUAUUCAUGAUUCUGACGAUGAUGUUUAUAAUGAAUCACUGCACCUCUGGAUAUGAGAACCCAGGGUUAACUGAGAUAGUUGGUAAUCAGCUUUGUAGUACAGGUUAUCAGGACGUCCGAUGUGAGGUUGCAAAUAACGAGAACAGAUCCUGGGUAUGUUGAAUGCGCCUCGUAGUACAGGCACCAGCUGUGUAGCUCUGUGUUUGAGUGACAGCUGUCUGCUGAUAAAUCCAGCUGCUGAAGAUAACAUCUAUAAUCCCCCACCACCAGGCACACACACACAGGCACACACAGGCGCACACAGGCGCACACAGGCGCGCGCGCGCACACACACACCUACACACACACACACACACACACACAUAUACACACACACACACACACACACACACACACACACACACACACACACACAGUAUUAGGGUUAGCAGUGAGACAGAUGAUGACCAGCUACAGUUUCUUUCCAAACAUGCUGCUAAUGUGUCAUGUCACAUUUUUUAAUCUGUGAUGUCAUCAAUUGAACAAUCAUCAGUGAAAUCAUUGAUGAUGCUUUGUAAACUAUCAAUACAUUAAUGAUUAAUCACCUGUUUUUUUAAAUAAUAAUUAAAUAUCUAAUCACUGAAAAUGUUUUAAAUAAAUAUGAUGUAAU